GGUUGGUCCAGGUGCAGUGGUGUUUGCAGCUAAUUGAUCACAACCAGUUACAGAUUCCUUUGUUCCUUCCCCACUCCCACUGCUCUACUUGACCAGCCUAAA
rnacentral:Y_RNA from 1 species